GACGAACGCUGGCGGCGUGCUUAACACAUGCAAGUCGAACGGAAAGGCCCUGCUUUUGUGGGGUGCUCGAGUGGCGAACGGGUGAGUAACACGUGAGUAACCUGCCCUUGACUUUGGGAUAACUUCAGGAAACUGGGGCUAAUACCGGAUAGGAGCUCCUGCUGCAUGGUGGGGGUUGGAAAGUUUCGGCGGUUGGGGAUGGACUCGAGGCUUAUCAGCUUGUUGGUGGGGUAGUGGCUUACCAAGGCUUUGACGGGUAGCCGGCCUGAGAGGGUGACCGGCGACAUGGGGACUGAGAGACGGACCAGACUCCUACGGGAGGCAGCAGGGGGGAAUAUGGCACAAUGGGCGGAAGCCUGAGGCAGCAGCGCCGCGUGCGGGAUGACGGCUUUCGGGUUGUAAACCGCUUUCGCCUGUGACGAAGCGUGAGUGACGGUAAUGGGUAAAGAAGCACCGGCUAACUACGUG
rnacentral:rRNA from 1 species